GAGUCGUAACAAGGUUUCCGUAGGUGAACCUGCGGAAGGAUCAUUAACACGUAUCCAAACGUUAAAACCCCCCCCGUGAACCUUCAUCCUGCUCUUGUAACCCGCGUAGUUCGCAAUCUCUGAUAAAUCAUAGCCCGGAAAGUUGUAGGUGAUUCAGAGACCUCUGGCUACGUGCAAAAUGCAACUGUUAACAAUGGAUAUCUUGGUUCUC
rnacentral:misc_RNA from 1 species